CUCCUUAAAGGGAUGAUUAAAGCAACCUGUGAAGACAAAGUCAGACACGUCUCACAACAACCAGCCUCUAGGAUCAGUUCCUGCAAACAGGCUCCGCCUCCAUCUCAGGUGAAGCUCUGACUCAUUCCAGGAAGCAGCUCACCUGUAUCUCAGUCCAAGUUCACACAUCAAGUGUCUUCAACACUUUCUGAAGCUCUAACAAACUGUAGAACAGACUGGUUUUGCUCCUCUUCCUCCUCAUGCCUCCAGAUCAGGUGAAACUGUUAGAGGUUGUUGUUCAUAGAGGUCGAGCAUCUUCAGCCUUUUGGACAGUUUAACCAAUCUGCUCCGCCUCCAUCUGAGGUGAAGUUCUGACUGGUUCCAGGAAGCUGCUCUGCUGCCUCAGAGUCUGUUUUGUUCAAGUCUUCUUCUGUUCUCUGUCUUGCUUAAAGAAACCCUCCAUGUGUGUGAGCUGAUGUGAACUGAGCAGCAUGGAUCAGUGUGAGGACAGAGAGGACAGAGUCCCUCCCUCUAAAACCACUCUGUGUGGAGAACAUGAGGACCAGAGCAAAGUUCAGAGGAAACGAUCAAAAUCAGAACCCGGACCCGGACAUGAACCCAGC